AUGGGUUUCCAAUUCUGAGAGAUCAAAUAGGAUUAUAUCUAUAUCACAUUUGUAAUUUUAACUUUCUAAUCCUCUUCUGUUAUUUAGGCUAGAGAGCAUCGCGAGUUCUUUUUGGAUCUCGUGUCAUGAAUAUCGAGAAUCCAAAGAGCAGGAUAUUAUUUCUUGCUCCCAGCUUAAGAUGUUUUAUGUCUUUACAAGAAAGGAUGAUCUUUAGGUACCCAUUUUCUUUUGGGUGCCUCAAAAAUAGAUCUACAUUGUUUAUCAUGUUGCAUAGAAUUUAU
rnacentral:lncRNA from 1 species